CGCGCGCGCGAGAGGAGAAAGAGAGAGAGAGAGAGAGAGAGAGACAGAUAGAGAAAUAGAGAAAGAGAGAGAGGAUGAAAGAUCGAUAUAGCGUGGGUGGUGGACGCGCAGAGGUGCGGUGAGCCACUGGCUAAGGCACUCGCGAGGGCCAGUCGUGCCGUCGACUGCAUCAGCGAACCCGUCUCGUCAUUCUCUUUCCUUCUACUUCUCUUGCAUACCGAAAACGAACGAAAUCAAUGACAGAUUCGAGCAGAGUUGACCGGAUAAAAGCUAAAAUAGUUAGAAAGAAAGAAAGAGAGAGAGAAAGGAACAAUUUCACGGAACGUUUAACACGUUCAACGACCCUCGCGGAAACAGGACACCUUCUCCUAUGACGUGAGACCCUUCGAAACACAAUCAGCUUUUUGCAAUCAGCACCGGAAACGAUUUGCAACCCCUGUAAUAAAAUCCUUUCGCGGUGACAUUCGCGAAAAGAAAAGAAUAGAAGAAAAA